rnacentral:rRNA from 1 species
CCUACGGGAGGCAGCAGUGAGGAAUAUUGGUCAAUGGGCGCGAGUCUGAACCAGCCAAGUCGCGUGCGGGAAGACGGCCCUAUGGAUUGUAAACUUCUUUUGUCGGGGAGCAAACGACGCUACGUGUGUCGUUCUGAGAGUAUCCGACGAAUAAGCAUCGGCUAACUCCGUGCCAGCAGCCGCGGUAAUACGGAGGAUGCGAGCGUUAUCCGGAUUUAUUGGGUUAAAGGGGUGCGUAGGCGGACGAUAAAGUAAGCGGUAAAAUUGGGAGGCUCAACCUCGACGUGCCGUUGAAACUGGUUGGCUUGAGUGAAUGUGAGGUAGGCGGAAUGCAUGGUGUAGCGGUGAAAUGCUUAGAGAUCACACAGAACUCCGAUUGCGAAGGCAGCAUACCGGGGCACAACUGACGCUCAUGCACGAAAGUGUGGGUAUCGAACAGGAUUAGAUACCCCUGUAGUC